rnacentral:rRNA from 1 species
ACCGUGGCGGACGGGUGAGUAAUAUGUAAGAAUCUGCGUUUAGGUGGGGGAUAAUGAAUGGAAGCGUUCAGUAAUACCCCAUAAUGCUAUUAAGUUAAAGAAUUUCGCCUAGACAUGAGCUUACAUCUGAUUAGCUAGUUGGUGAGGUAAUUGCUUACCAAGGCGAUGAUCAGUAGUUGAUUUGAGAGGAUGAUCAACCACACUGGGACUGAGACACGGAACAGACUCCUACGGGAGGCAGCAGUGGGGAAUAUUGCACAAUGAGCGAAAAGCUUGAUGCAGCAAUACCGCGUGGAGGAUGACGGUUUUAGAAUUGUAAACUCCUUUUCUCUGGGAAGAUUUAUUGACGGUACUUGAGGAAUAAGCAUCGGCUAAUUCUGUGCCAGCAGCCGCGGUAAUACAGGAGAUGCAAGCGUUAUCCGGAAUUAUUGGGCGUAAAGAGUGCGUAGGCGGUUAAACGUGUUCAAUAUUAAAUCUUAAAGCUUAACUUUAAGUUCGUAUUGAAAACUGUUUAGCUAGAGUAUAAUAGAGGUAAAGGGAAUUUCCAGUGUAGCGGUGAAAUGCGUAGAUAUUGGAAAGAACACCGGUGGCGAAGGCGCUUUACUAGGUUGAUACUGACGUUGAGGCACGAAAGCUAGGGGAGCGAAUAGGAUUAGAUACCCUCGUAGUCCUAGCUGUAAACGAUGGAUACUAAGUGGUGUUUUUGCACUGCUAAAGUUAACGCGUUAAGUAUCCCGCCUGGGGAGUACGCUUGCAAUAGUGAAACUCAAAG